UCUCAAUUUUCUUAUUUUAGGUGUGAUAUGAAUGAUUAAUGUGGAAUUAUUUGGUUGUGGAUUGUUGAAAAAGGUAAUCAUGAACUGUUAUAUUGCAACCUUGAACGAAAUUUGGGGGAACUAAUAAUCGAAUAAGUUAAACGUUAAUUAGUUUUGAUUCAUUAUUGGAUAUUGUUGAAAUUGAUAGUAUCGUGCUUUAGAUCGUUAAAUGGGUAGGUAAAUACUAAGUUCGGGUAGGCAA
rnacentral:lncRNA from 1 species